AGAGUUUGAUCCUGGCUCAGAACGAACGCUGGCGGAGUAACACAUGCAAGUCGAGCGCUCAGNNAUGAGAGCGGCGCACGGGUGAGUAACACGUGGGAACAUGCCCUUUGGUUCGGAAUAACUCAGGGAAACUUGUGCUAAUACCGGAUAAGCCCUUACGGGGAAAGAUUUAUCGCCAAAGGAGUGGCCCGCGUCCGAUUAGCUAGUUGGUGAGGUAAAGGCUCACCAAGGCGACGAUCGGUAGCUGGUCUGAGAGGACGACCAGCCACACUGGGACUGAGACACGGCCCAGACUCCUACGGGAGGCAGCAGUGGGGAAUCUUGGACAAUGGGGGAAACCCUGAUCCAGCCAUGCCGCGUGAGUGAUGAAGGCCCUAGGGUUGUAAAACUCUUUCGGCGGGGACGAUAAUGACGGUACCCGCAGAAGAAGCUCCGGCUAACUUCGUGCCAGCAGCCGCGGUAAUACGAAGGGGGCUAGCGUUGUUCGGAAUUACUGGGCGUAAAGCGCGCGCAGGCGGUUCUUCAAGUCAGAGGUGAAAGCCCAGAGCUCAACUCUGGAAUGGCCUUUGAGACUAGAGAACUUGGGUACGGGAGAGGUGAGUGGAAUUCCGAGUGUAGAGGUGAAAUUCGUAGAUAUUCGGAAGAACACCAGUGGCGAAGGCGGCUCACUGGCCCGUUACCGACGCUCAGGCGCGACAGCGUGGGGAGCAAACAGGAUUAGAUACCCUAGUAGUCC
rnacentral:rRNA from 1 species